UUUCUAGUGUAGGUAUGUAUAAUCCAAUAUUUGGGAUAUAAUUACACUAAAA
rnacentral:pre_miRNA from 1 species